CCUACGGGAGGCAGCAGUGGGGAAUCUUGCGCAAUGGGCGGAAGCCUGACGCAGCAACGCCGCGUGCGGGAAGAAGGCCUUAGGGUCGUAAACCGCUUUCAGGGGGGACGAAGCUUCCGGGGUUAAUAGCCUACGGGGUGACGGUACUCCCAAAAGAAGGUCCGGCUAACUACGUGCCAGCAGCCGCGGUAAUACGUAGGGACCGAGCGUUGUCCGGAAUCAUUGGGCGUAAAGAGCGUGUAGGCGGCCUAGUAGGUCUCGUGUGAAAUCCCGUGGCUCAACCACGGACACGCACGGGAAACCCCUAGGCUCGAGUCCGGAAGAGGAGAGCGGAAUUCCUGGUGUAGCGGUGAAAUGCGCAGAUAUCAGGAAGAACACCCGUAGCGAAGGCGGCUCUCUGGGACGGUACUGACGCUGAGACGCGAAAGCGUGGGGAGCAAACAGGAUUAGAUACCCUGGUAGUCCACGCCGUAAACGAUGGAUGCUAGGUGUGGGAGGUGUCGACUCCUCCCGUGCCGAAGCUAACGCAUUAAGCAUCCCGCCUGGGGAGUACGGCCGCAAGGCUAAACUCAAAUGAAUUGACGGCGNGAGACGUGCGACGACGACGACGAGGGAGUAGG
rnacentral:rRNA from 1 species